rnacentral:rRNA from 1 species
GACGAACGCUGGCGGCGUGCCUAAUACAUGCAAGUCGAGCGGACUUAAAAAGCUUGCUUUUUAAGUAAGCGGCGGACGGGUGGGUAACAAGUGGGCAACCUGCCUGUAAGACUGGGAUAACUUCGGGAAACCGGAGCUAAUACCGGAUAAUCAUUACCUACUAAUGUAGGAAAGCUGAAAGAAGGUUUACGCUGUCACUUACAGAUGGGCCUGCGGCGCAUUAGCUAGUUGGUGAGGGAACGGCCCACCAAGGCUACGGUGCGUAGGAGACCUGAGAGGGUGAACGGCCACACUGGGACUGAGACACGGCCCAGACUCCUACGGGAGGCAGCAGUAGGGAAUCUUCCGCAAUGGACGAAAGUCUGACGGAGCAACGCCGCGUGAGUGAUGAAGGUUUUCGGAUCGUAAAACUCUGUUGUUAGGGAAGAACAAGUACGAGAGUAACUGCUCGUACCUUGACGGUACCUAACCAGAAAGCCACGGCUAACUACGUGCCAGCCGCCGCCGUAA